UACGUAGGGUGCAAGCGUUAAUCGGAAUUACUGGGCGUAAAGCGUGCGCAGGCGGUUUUGUAAGUCUGACGUGAAAUCCCCCGGGCUCAACCUGGGAAUUGCGUUGGAGACUGCAAGGCUAGAAUCUGGCAGAGGGGGGGUAGAAUUCCACGUGUAGCAGUGAAAUGCGUAGAGAUAUGGAGGAACACCGAUGGCGAAGGCAGCCCCCUGGGUCAAGAUUGACGCUCAUGCACGAAAAGCGUGGGGGAGCAAACAGG
rnacentral:rRNA from 1 species